rnacentral:rRNA from 1 species
GACGAACGCUGGCGGCGUGCCUAAUACAUGCAAGUCGAACGCAGUGGGGACGGGUGAGUAACACGUGGGUAACCUCACAUCAGAGGGGAUAACACUUGGAAACAGGUGCUAAACCGAUAUUGAUGGAUGGACCCGCGGUGCAUUAGCUAUUGUGUGAGGUAACGGCUCACAAGGGACACGAUGCAUAGCCUCCCUGGUAGGUUGAGCGGCCACACUGGGACUGAGACACGGCCCAGACUCCUACGGGAGGCAGCAGUGGGGAAUAUUGCACAAUGGGCGCAAGCCUGAUGCAGCCAUUCCGCGUGUAUGAAGAAGGCCUUAGGGUGGUAAAGUACUUUCAGCGGGGAGGCGUUACCCGCAGAAGAAGCACCGGCUAACUCCGUGCCAGCAGCCGCGGUAAUUC